rnacentral:rRNA from 1 species
AUGAUCAAAGAUUGGCUGGGUCUCCAUGAUGUGCAUUCUAGUGAUUGGAGUGACGCCACCAAGAAGACACAAUCGCAAAGACCACUUGCUUCCUUGAUGCUUCUGAUCUCUUGGGAGUUGUGGAAUGAGAGGAAUGCGUGGAUCUUUCGUAAUACCGCUGUCCCGGUUGGAGUCAUUGUUGCUACGAUUAAAGAGGAGGCGUCACUUUGGAGCAUGGCGGGGGCGAGGCACUUGAGUAACAUAAUGCCGCGAGAGUGA